rnacentral:rRNA from 1 species
UGCAGUCGAACGAUACCAGAGAGCUUGCUUUCUGGGAAGUGGCGCACGGGUGCGUAACGCGUAUGCACCUACCUUAAUCAGGGGGAUAGCCUCUCGAAAGAGAGAUUAACACCGCAUAACAUUAUGAUAUGGCAUCAUAUUAUAAUCAAAUAUUUAUAGGAUUAAGAUGGGCAUGCGUGACAUUAGCUAGUUGGUGAGGUAACGGCUCACCAAGGCUACGAUGUCUAGGGGAUCUGAGAGGAUGACCCCCCACACUGGUACUGAGACACGGACCAGACUCCUACGGGAGGCAGCAGUAAGGAAUAUUGGUCAAUGGAGGCAACUCUGAACCAGCCAUGCCGCGUGCAGGAAGACGGCCCUAUGGGUUGUAAACUGCUUUUAUACGGGAAUAAACCUCUCUACGUGUAGAGAGUUGAAUGUACUGUAAGAAUAAGGAUCGGCUAACUCCGUGCCAGCAGCCGCGGUAAUACGGAGGAUCCAAGCGUUAUCCGGAU